CCUACGGGAUGCUGCAGUGGGGAAUAUUGGACAAUGGGGGGAACCCUGAUCCAGCCAUGCCGCGUGUGUGAAGAAGGCCCUCGGGUUGUAAAGCACUUUCAGUGAGGAAGAACGCCUGGUGGUUAAUACCCAUCAGGAAAGACAUCACUCACAGAAGAAGCACCGGCUAACUCCGUGCCAGCAGCCGCGGUAAUACGGAGGGUGCGAGCGUUAAUCGGAAUUACUGGGCGUAAAGCGCGCGUAGGUGGCUUGAUAAGCCGGUUGUGAAAGCCCCGGGCUCAACCUGGGAACGGCAUCCGGAACUGUCAAGCUAGAGUGCAGGAGAGGAAGGUAGAAUUCCCGGUGUAGCGGUGAAAUGCGUAGAGAUCGGGAGGAAUACCAGUGGCGAAGGCGGCCUUCUGGACUGACACUGACACUGAGGUGCGAAAGCGUGGGUAGCAAACAGGAUUAGAUACCCCUGUAGUC
rnacentral:rRNA from 1 species